rnacentral:tRNA from 1 species
GGGUAUGGCUCAGUGGUAGAGUACCUGCUUAGCAUGCAUGAAGUCCUGGGUUCGACCCCCAGCAUCUCCA